rnacentral:rRNA from 1 species
AGACUCCGCUAGUAGUGGCGAGCGAACGCGGACCAGGCCAGUGGCUUAUGUGAUUAAAGUGGAACAAUCUGGAAAGGUUGGCUAGAGUGGGUGAUAGCCCCGUACACGCAACAUGAACAUAAGUCCUUGAGUAGGGCGGGACACGUGAAAUCCUGUCUGAAUAUGGGUAGACCACUAUCCAAGCCUAAGUACUCGUGCAUGACCGAUAGCGAACCAGUACCGUGAGGGAAAGGUGAAAAGCACCCCGACGAGGGGAGUGAAAUAGUACCUGAAACCGAAUGCCUACAAACAGUUGGAGCCCAAGAUUUGUUCUGGGUGACAGCGUACCUUUUGUAUAAUGGGUCAGCGACUUAGUGUAACGAGCAAGCUUAAGCCGGUAGGUGUAGGCGUAGCGAAAGCGAGUCUGAAUAGGGCGUUCAGUUCGUUGCAUUAGACCCGAAACCAAGUGAUCUAGCCAUGAGCAGGUUGAAGGUACGGUAACACGUACUGGAGGACCGAACCCAUAUCUGUUGCAAUAGAUCGGGAUGACUUGUGGCUAGGGGUGAAAGGCCAAUCAAACUUGGAGAUAGCUGGUUCUCCGCGAAAUCUAUUUAGGUAGAGCGUCCAGCGAAUACCCCCGGGGGUAGAGCACUGAAUGGGCUAUGGGGACUCACCGUCUUACUGAUCCUAAUCAAACUCCGAAUACCGGGGAGUACUACUGGGCAGACACACGGCGGGUGCUAACGUCCGUCGUGAAGAGGGCAACAACCCUGACCACCAUCUAAGGUCCCUAAGUUAUGGCUAAGUGGGAAAGGAUGUGAGGAUCCCAAAACAACCAGGAUGUUGGCUUAGAAGCAGCCAUCAUUUAAAGAAAGCGUAACAGCUCACUGGUCUAAAUAAGGGUCUUUGCGCCGAAAAUGUACCGGGGCUAAAGCCAUACACCGAAGCUGUGGAUGCACGUAUGUGCGUGGUAGCGGAGCGUUCCGUAAGCCUGUGAAGGGACAGUCGUGAGACAUCCUGGAGGUAUCGGAAGUGAGAAUGCUGACAUGAGUAACGAUAAAGGGAGUGAGAGACUCCCUCGCCGAAAGUCCAAGGGUUCCUGCUUAAAGUUAAUCUGAGCAGGGUUAGCCGGCCCCUAAGGCGAGGCCGAAAGGCGUAGUCGAUGGGAACCACGUUAAUAUUCGUGGGCCUGCAGGUAGUGACGGAUUGCGUGUGUUGUACAUUCUUAUUGGAUUGAAUGUGCAGCGAAGCGGUUCCAGGAAAUAGCUCCUGCAUAUAGACCGUACCCUAAACCGACACAGGUGGACUGGUAGAGAAUACCAAGGCGCUUGAGAGAACUGCGUUGAAGGAACUCGGCAAAAUGCACGCGUAACUUCGGAAGAAGCGUGACCCUUAUUUAGGCAACUAGAUGAGGGUGGCACAGACCAGGGGGUAGCGACUGUUUACCAAAAACACAGGGCUCUGCGAAGUCGCAAGACGACGUAUAGGGUCUGACGCCUGCCCGGUGCUGGAAGGUUAAGAGGAGAUGUGCAAGCAUUGAAUUGAAGCCCCAGUAAACGGCGGCCGUAACUAUAACGGUCCUAAGGUAGCGAAAUUCCUUGUCGGGUAAGUUCCGACCUGCACGAAUGGCGUAACGACUUCCCCGCUGUCUCCAACGCAGACUCAGUGAAAUUGAAUUCCCCGUGAAGAUGCGGGGUUCCUGCGGUUAGACGGAAAGACCCCGUGCACCUUUACUAUAGCUUUACACUGGCAUUCGUGUCGACAUGUGUAGGAUAGGUGGUAGACUUUGAAGCCGUGGCGCCAGCCAUGGUGGAGUCAUCCUUGAAAUACCACCCUUAUCUAUAUGGAUGUCUAACUGCGGCCCGUUAUCCGGGUCCAGGACCGUGUAUGGUGGGUAGUUUGACUGGGGCGGUCGCCUCCUAAAGAGUAACGGAGGCGCGCGAUGGUAGGCUCAGAACGGUCGGAAAUCGUUCGUCGAGUGCAAUGGCAUAAGCCUGCCUGACUGCAAGACUGACAAGUCGAGCAGAGACGAAAGUCGGUCAUAGUGAUCCGGUGGUCCCGCGUGGAAGGGCCAUCGCUCAACGGAUAAAAGGUACGCCGGGGAUAACAGGCUGAUGA